UACGGAGGGUGCAAGCGUUAUCCGGAAUCACUGGGUUUAAAGGGUGCGUAGGCGGGUUGAUAAGUCAGUGGUGAAAUCUUUCGGCUUAACCGGAAAAUUGCCAUUGAUACUGUUAAUCUUGAGUAUGGUUGAAGUGGGCGGAAUGUGGCGUGUAGCGGUGAAAUGCUUAGAUAUGCCACAGAACACCGAUUGCGAAGGCAGCUCACUAAACCAUUACUGACGCUGAGGCACGAAAGCGUGGGUAUCAAACAGG
rnacentral:rRNA from 1 species